CGGGAUAAGUGCUGAAAGCAUCUAAGCAUGAAGCCCCCCUCAAGAUGAGAUUUCCCACACGCAAGUGGUAAGAUCCCUGAAAGAUGAUCAGGUAGAUAGGUUCGAGGUGGAAGCAUAGCGAUAUGUGCAGCUGACGAAUACUAAUCGAUCGAGGACUUAACCAAAUU
rnacentral:rRNA from 1 species